UACGUAGGGUGCGAGCGUUAAUCGGAAUUACUGGGCGUAAAGCGUGCGCAGGCGGUUCGUUGUGUCGGCGGUGAAAGCCCCGGGCUCAACCUGGGAAUGGCCGUUGAAACUGGCGAACUGGAGUGUGGCAGAGGGGGGUGGAAUUCCGCGUGUAGCAGUGAAAUGCGUAGAGAUGCGGAGGAACACCGAUGGCGAAGGCAGCCCCCUGGGCUGACACUGACGCCUCGAGCACGAAAGCGUGGGGAGGCGAAACCAAGGAAUUGAU
rnacentral:rRNA from 1 species